GCCAGAAAUUAUCAUGUUUAAAUACGAGUGUCUGGGAGCGCUUUAUGCGCUGUGCUUGCAAGAAUGCCAUUUCAUACGUGGUCCUCGAUACUUGUAGGUAUACAGCAAUAUUUUGGUCUCUCUGGAGGCAGACGCAGUGUGCUCUCCUUGGAGCUGAGCUGACAGAAGUGGCUGUUGGUCUGCAGUGCCCGGUGUCCUAGCAACAGCACGGUCUGCCGCAGCCGCCAUGUUGAGGCCUGAGCCAGGCACUGUGGCAUUGCCACCCUCUGCGGUAGCCCUGGCUGCCAUCCAUCGCCUGCAGAGCCUGGAAAAACAUGUGAAAAAUGAAGACUGUGCAUUCAGUGAGGAAAUCGUGCAGCACCUUGAAGACACUAUUGCUGCUAUUGAGAAAUUGCUGUGAACCAGAAGAUGACUUCCUGGUGUAUCUGAAGGCCAGCUGCAGGCUCUGUUCAGCUCUGGGCCAUGAGGAAAUCAGGCUUUUCUGUUGCUAAAGUGACACCCUGUAAAACAAGUUGUUAUUUUGGAGACUGGAAGAAAGGAAGAACAAGGAUGAUAAAAGGAAGAAAUGCGAAGGAAUACCAUUGAAUGCCUAGAAGAAGAGACUAUAAAAAACAGCAAGCUUCGCUUCAGAAUGCACAAUUUUCCAGGAGAGAUUGCUGCAGAGAUGGCAGCUCUUGUUGCUGCGUCACGUGAAUCUGGUGCUGCUAAGAUGAAUCAGCUGCAGUCUGCAUUGAAAAACAUUGCUUAUGAAAUUGAAUUAUUGGAUGAGAAACAAACCCUUUGUGAAAGGCAGAAUGCUGCACUGUGUGAGGAACAAAAGCGCCUGCAGACACAGCAUAAAGAAAAAGUGGACUUGCUGAAUGAAAGGAUGGCAACAAAAAUUAACACAAGUGUGCUCUUACUUGAGACUGAUUGUAAAACAAGAGCUACAGAAAAAGAAAUAAUCAGAGCAAAGACAGAGUUAGAAAAACUACAAGAAAAAAUAGCUGAAAAAAUGAGUCAGCUUGAGAAAGAGAUGGAAGAGUGUGAUGGAAAGGUAAAGGUUUUGAAAUGCCCUGAGAAGUUGUGCCAAAUGCUGUGUUUGGGUUUUUGUUUGCAAGUAAUUUAGGUCCCCACAGCAGCCAAGCACAGAAUUGGCUCUUGUAAAUACAUGUGCUCUGUGUGUGUGUGGGGAGGGGGGGGGUUUUCUUAUGUACACA